rnacentral:rRNA from 1 species
UACGUAGGGUGCGAGCGUUGUCCGGAAUUACUGGGCGUAAAGAGCUCGUAGGUGGUUUGUCGCGUUGUUCGUGAAAACUCACAGCUUAACUGUGGGCGUGCGGGCGAUACGGGCAGACUUGAGUACUGCAGGGGAGACUGGAAUUCCUGGUGUAGCGGUGGAAUGCGCAGAUAUCAGGAGGAACACUGGUGGCGAAGGCGGGUCUCUGGGCAGUAACUGACGCUGAGGAGCGAAAGCGUGGGGAGCGAACAGG